AUGGAAGCCCCAGCGCAGCUUCUCUGCCUCCUGCUGCUCUGGCUCCCAGGUUCCUCUGGAGAAACUGUGAUGACACAGACUCCAGCCUCCCUAUCAUUGUCUCCUGGAGAAAAGGCCACGAUCUCCUGCAGGGCCAGUCAGAGUGUUAGCAACUGGUUAGCCUGGUACCAGCAGAAACCUGGGCAGGCUCCCAGGCGCCUCAUCUAUGAGGCAUCCAAGAGGCCCAAUGGCAUCCCAGCCCGCUUCAGUGGCAGCGGGUCUGGGACAGACUUCACGCUCACCAUCAGCAGCCUGGAGCCUGAGGAUGCCGCCACUUACUACUGUUUGCAGCAUAAUAGUGGAAGUCAGAGUACUUCUGUUGCUGAGACACAGGCUGCCUUACUGCGGGCCUCAGGCCUCCAUGAAGCCCGAGGGCAGGAGCUGAUGCUUACAGCUGCUGCAGCACCUCCCAGGGGACCCCCGGCCUCCCCCAAGCUCUGUGUCUGCCUCCAUGAGUCCCUGGGGCACAGUGGCUCCUCCUUUCCCGACUGA